rnacentral:rRNA from 1 species
GGGGAAUAUUGGACAAUGGGGGCAACCCUGAUCCAGCCAUGCCGCGUGAGUGAUGAAGGCCUUAGGGUUGUAAAGCUCUUUCGCCGGGGAAGAUAAUGACGGUACCCGGAGAAGAAGCCUCGGCUAACUCCGUGCCAGCAGCCGCGGUAAGACGGAGGAGGCUAGCGUUGUUCGGAAUUACUGGGCGUAAAGCGUACGCAGGUGGCGAAGCAAGUCGGAUGUGAAAGCCCGGGGCUCAACCCCGGAUGUGCAUCCGAUACUGUUUUGCUGGAGUCCGGGAGAGGAGAGCGGAAUUCCCAGUGUAGAGGUGAAAUUCGUAGAUAUUGGGAAGAACACCGGUGGCGAAGGCGGCUCUCUGGUCCGGUACUGACACUCAAGUACGAAAGCGUGGAGAGCAAAC